rnacentral:rRNA from 1 species
GCAUAAUCACUUGUCCCUUAAAUCGGGACUAGAAUGAACGGCUAAAUGAGGACUAAACUGUCUCUUACAGGCUAGCCAAUGAAAUUGAUUUUCCAGUACAAAAGCUGGAAUAUAACCACAAGACGAGAAGACCCUGUGGAGCUUAAAACCAAAUUCACCAAACAUGUCUCAUUGGUUUUCAGUUGGGGCGACUUCGGAGUACAAAAUAACCUCCAAACAUAAAACUAAUUAAGAACAACACAUCAAAAUAUGUUUAUAAUGACCCAGCAACCCUGUAGUUGUCUGAUUAAUGAACCAAGUUACCCCAGGGAUAACAGCGCCAUCCCCUUCUAGAGUCCCUAUCGACAAGGGGGUUUACGACCUCGAUGUUGGAUCAGGACACCCCAAUGGUGCAGCCGCCAUUAACGGUUCGUUUGUUCAACGAUUAAAGUCCAACGUGAU